rnacentral:rRNA from 1 species
UACGGAGGGUGCGAGCGUUGUCCGGAAUCACUGGGCGUAAAGGGCGCGUAGGCGGCCUGAUAAGUAGGGGGGUGAAAUCCUGAGGCUUAACCUCAGGGCUGCCUUCUAAACUGUCGGGCUCGAGCACAGUAGAGGCAGGUGGAAUUCCCGGUGUAGCGGUGGAAUGCGUAGAGAUCGGGAAGAACAUCAGUGGCGAAGGCGGCCUGCUGGGCUGUUGCUGACGCUGAGGCGCGACAGCGUGGGGGAGCAAACAGGG